GAUGAAGAACGCAGCGAAAUGCGAUAAGUAAUGUGAAUUGCAGAAUUCCGUGAAUCAUCGAAUCUUUGAACGCACAUUGCGCCCCCUGGUAUUCCGGGGGGCACGCCUGUCCGAGCGUCAUUGCAACCCUCAAGCGCGGCUUGUGUGUUGGGCUUCGUCCCCCCGUGGACGUGCCCGAAAGGCAGUGGCGGCGUCCCGAAUGGUGCCCGAGCGUAUGGGAACUCUCUUCCGCUCGAACCGGCCCAUUCGGCGCUGGUCGAACCCCAAUUUUUUUUUACCGGUUGACCUCGGAUCAGGUAGGGAUACCCGCUGAACUUAAGCAUAUCAAUAAGCGGAGGA
rnacentral:misc_RNA from 1 species